rnacentral:piRNA from 1 species
UCUCGAUCAGAUUGUGAUGUGCCAUGAAA